rnacentral:tRNA from 1 species
GGAAUGGGAAUGGUCGGGAUAGCUCAG